UACAGAGGUCUCAAGCGUUGUUCGGAAUCACUGGGCGUAAAGGGUGCGUAGGCGGCGCGGUAAGUCGGGUGUGAAAUCUUGGAGCUUAACUCCGAAACUGCAUUCGAUACUGCCGUGCUUGAGGACUGGAGAGGAGACUGGAAUUUACGGUGUAGCGGUGAAAUGCGUAGAUAUCGUAAGGAAGACCAGUGGCGAAGGCGGGUCUCUGGACAGUUCCUGACGCUGAGGCACGAAGGCCAGGGGAGCAAACGGG
rnacentral:rRNA from 1 species